GAUGAACGCUGGCGGCGUGCCUAAUACAUGCAAGUCGAGCGAAUGGAUUAAGAGCUUGCUCUUAUGAAGUUAGCGGCGGACGGGUGAGUAACACGUGGGUAACCUGCCCAUAAGACUGGGAUAACUCCGGGAGACCGGGGCUAAUACCGGAUAACAUUUUGAACCGCAUGGCUCGAAAUUGAAAGGCGGCUUCGGCUGUCACUUAUGGAUGGACCCGCGUCGCAUUAGCUAGUUGGUGAGGUAACGGCUCACCAAGGCAACGAUGCGUAGCCGACCUGAGAGGGUGAUCGGCCUCACUGAGACUGAGACACGGCCCAGACUCCUACGGGAGGCAGCAGUAGGGAAUCUUCCGCAAUGGCCGAAAGUCUGACGGAGCAACGCCGCGUGAGUGAUGAAGGCUUUCGGGUCGUAAAACUCUGUUGUUAGGGAAGAACAAGUGCUAGUUGAAUAAGCUGGCACCUUGACGGUACCUAACCAGAAAGCCACGGCUAACUACGUGCCAGCCGCCGCGGUAA
rnacentral:rRNA from 1 species